rnacentral:miRNA from 1 species
UUUGAGGGAGGCUAGUCUGCUGACACCUUGAAUUUGAACGUCUAGCCUCCAGAUCUCAAUGUGUUUCUGUUGUUUGAAGGGAUGAGUUUACAGUGCUUUAUUAUGACAGUCUUAGGA